rnacentral:rRNA from 1 species
CAGAAGCCCGUGAAUCCGGGCGCCGCGGAAUUCAGGACCGAUCGGCGGACGUUCGCGUCUCGUCGGUCGACUCGAUAUUUCCGUCGCCGACCCUCAACCGAGGGUGUCGGACGUCGCGACCCGUUCGCCAUUUUGUCGAUGCUCAGGGACGCGUCGCCAGUUCGCCAGCGCCGUCGCCUCGGCGGCGGCGCGACGAUGGCGCGUUUCCGUUGUUUUCGACGCGGACGGUAGCUUUGCGCGCGGGUAUUCGACGCGGCCCACUCGUUCGGCGUCACUUCGGUGGCGUCGGGCGGGCGCUCGCGUCGACGCCGGUCAGCGACGAAUCUUCGGGCCUCUUUCCGACCCGUCUUGAAAAACGGGACCAAAAGGG